rnacentral:rRNA from 1 species
AUGUCUAGGGACCUGCAUGUAAUCCCCAGAGACCUUCAUGGAACCGGAAGUAGACAGAGGGUCCCGCCUUCAAAUGCGUGGCUCCCGCCUAAGCACCAUGAUGUUAAAAUUAAUGUAGAUGCGGGCUUUUCGAAGGUCAGCGACCGCGCAGCUGCAGCAGCGGUAUGCAGGGACAAAGGAGGAAACUAUUUGGGCGCCUCGUCAAUCAUUUACGAUGGCCGCCUCGACCCAACCAUCCUCGAAGCACAGGCAUGCUAUGAGGCACUCUCCCUCGCCUCGGACCUGCAGGUUCAAUCGCUUUGUGUGGCUUCAGACUGCCUGGAGGUAAUAAGGAACAUCCAAGAUGCAGUCCCUUGUCGAUAUUUUUCUAUCCUACAGGAUAUCAAGCAUGAAAGGAGCCAUUUUUUAGAUGUCAAGCUUCUUCAUGAGAAUAGGAAGCACAACGGAGAAGCACAUGCUUUAUCAAAGGCAGCUUCCUCUCUUAGCACUGGGCGCCAUGUGUGGCUUAGUACUUUGCCCGAUAUAAUCUGUAUCCCCAUGUGUUUGAACUUCUAA